rnacentral:rRNA from 1 species
AUUGAACGCUGGCGGCAUGCCUUACACAUGCAAGUCGAACGGCAGCGCGGGGCAACCUGGCGGCGAGUGGCGAACGGGUGAGUAAAAUAUCGGAACAUACCCUAGAGUGGGGGGAUAACGUAGCGAAAGUUACGCUAAUACCGCAUACGCACUAAGGUGGAAAGUGGGGGAUCUUCGGACCUCAUGCUCAUGGAGUGGCCGAUAUCUGAUUAGCUAGUUGGUGAGGUAAAGGCUCACCAAGGCGACGAUCAGUAGCUGGUUUGAGAGAACGACCAGCCACACUGGAACUGAGACACGGUCCAGACUCCUACGGGAGGCAGCAGUGGGGAAUUUUGGACAAUGGGGGCAACCCUGAUCCAGCAAUGCCGCGUGAGUGAAGAAGGC